rnacentral:rRNA from 1 species
UGGGGAAUAUUGCACAAUGGAGGGAACUCUGAUGCAGCGACGCCGCGUGAACGAAGAAGGCUUUCGAGUCGUAAAGUUCUUUUAUAUGGGAAGAUAAUGACGGUACCAUAAGAAAAAGCCCCGGCUAACUACGUGCCAGCAGCCGCGGUAAUACGUAGGGGGCUAGCGUUGUCCGGAAUCACUGGGCGUAAAGGGUUCGCAGGCGGAAAUGCAAGUCAGGUGUAAAAGGCAGUAGCUUAACUACUGUAAGCAUUUGAAACUGCAUAUCUUGAGAAGAGUAGAGGUAAGUGGAAUUUUUAGUGUAGCGGUGAAAUGCGUAGUUAUUAAAAAGAAUACCGGUGGCGAAGGCGGCUUACUGGGCUCAUUCUGACGCUGAGGAACGAAAGCGUGGGUAGCAAACAGG